ensembl:lncRNA
CUUCACUCUUCUUUCCUUCUUCCACUCUUCUUUCCUUCUUCUACUCUUCUUUUCUUUCUUCACUCUUCUUCCACUCUUCUUUCCUUCUUCCACUCUUCUUUCCUUUCUUCUUUCCUUCUUCCACUCUUCUUUCCUUCUUUCUCUCUUCUUUCUUUUCUUCUUUCCUUCUUCCACUCUUCUUUCCUUCUUUCACUCUUCUUUCUUUCCUUCUUCCACUCUUUUUUCCUUCUUUCACUCUUCUUUCCUUCUUUCCUUCUUUCACUUUUCUUUUUUUUCUUCUUUCCUUCUUCCACUCUUCUUUUCUUUCUUCACUCUUUUUUCUUUUCUUCUUUCCUUCUUCUUUACUUCUUCCACUCUUCUUUCCUUUCUUCUUUCCUUCUUAUACUUUUCUUUUUUUUCCUCUUUCCUUCUUCUUUCCUUUCUUCACUCUUCUUUCUUUUCUUCUUUCCUUCUUCCCUUCUUCUUUCCUUCUUUGACUCUUCUUUCCUUUCUUCUUUCCUUUCUUUACUCUUCUUUCCUUUCUUAUUUCCUUCUUUCACUCUUCUUUCCUUUCUUAUUUCCUUUCUUUCACUCUUCUUUCUUUUCUUCUUCCUUUCUUAACUUUUGCAUUUCAUGCACUGGUAUUUCCUUCAGGAAAUGCAUUUUCUAGUUACAGUGCAUGAAAUGCCCUGUAUUGUUAUUCCUUCGUUUCUUAUACUUAUUACAGUGCAUGAAAUGCCCUGUAUUGUUAUUCCUAGGCUUCUUAUUCUUCUUAUUAUUAUUCUUUGUACCAAACUUCUGCGCUUAAUUCAGCUUUAACCGCUUAACUUAGAAACUUCGUUCAAACUUUGUCGCUUAGGUCUUGUUAAGGACACUUAUGCUAUGUAUUUUUCAUUUUUCUAAACUUUAUACUUUUUAAAAUAUUAAAGAAAAACUAAUACAAUUUCUCCCAUUGACUUACAUUGGGCCAUUAUGACAUCAUAAUAGGGUCUUUAAACUGGCUUGCACCUGUGCUUCACUGACACCUGCGCCAAGGUUCCAAGGAACCUCUUCUCUCUGUCCCUCUCCAUUCAACUGUAUAACUAGGAAUAUUAUUCUUUCCUUCUUCCCUUCUUCCACUCUCCUUUCCUUUCUUCUUUCCUUCUUCCACUCUUCUUUCCUUCUUCUACUCUUCUUUUCUUUCUUCACUCUUCUUUCCUUCUUCCACUCUUCUAUCCUUC